GCGAGCAAGGUGUUGCACAUACUACGAGUGUGUGCAGUAUCGAAACGAAGGUGUUAAGCUCGCCGCCUGGGAAGUACGGUCGCAAGACUGAAACUUAAAGGCAUUGGCGGGGGAGCACUACAACGAGUGCGGCGUGCGGUUUAAUCUAACUCCAUAAUACGACUCACUAUAGGGGCGACGGCAGAAUGAAAGUCAGAUUAAAGGUCUUACUUAACGAGCCGAGAGGUAGUGCAUGGCCGUCGUAAGCUCGUGCCGUGAGGUGUCCAGCUAAGUCUGGAAACGAGCGAGACCUGUAUCUACAAUUGCUAACAUGUUCUUUUGAAUGAAUGAGCACAUUGUAGAAACUGCCCUUGUAAAAGGGAGGAAGGUGCAGGCGACGAUAGGUCUGUAUGCUCCGAAUCUCCUGGGCUACACGCGCGCAACAAUGGUAAGGACAAUGGGCUGCUACUCCGAAAGGAGACGCUAAUCCUCGAAACCUUAUCCUAGUUCAGAUUGAGGAUUGUAACUCAUCCUCAUGACGCUGGAAUUCGUAGUAAUCAGAAAUUAUCAGUUUCUGGUGAAUAUGUCCCUGCUCCUUGCACACACCGCCCGUCA
rnacentral:rRNA from 1 species